GAGGAUGGCGGACGGGUGAGUAACGCGUAAGGAACUUGCCUCUUGGACUGGGACAACUGUUGGAAACGACAGCUAAUACCGGAUAUUAUGAGAUUCUCGCAUGAGAAAUUUAUGAAAGCUAUAUGCGCCAAGAGAGAGCCUUGCGUUCCAUUAGCUAGUUGGUGGGGUAACGGCCCACCAAGGCGACGAUGGAUAGCCGGCCUGAGAGGGUGAACGGCCACAAGGGGACUGAGACACGGCCCUUACUCCUACGGGAGGCAGCAGUGGGGAAUAUUGGACAAUGGGCCACAAGCCUGAUCCAGCAAUUCUGUGUGCACGAUGAAGGUCUUCGGAUUGUAAAGUGCUUUCAGUUGG
rnacentral:rRNA from 1 species